CCGUAAUCAGAAAUGUACACAAAUCAUCCACGGUACCAAAUUAGCCCGUCUUCCUCCUCCGCCUCAAAAUUCCACCGCUGCCUCUCCAUGCCCUAGAGCCUCCCGUCCCAGAUCUCAACAUCCCAUCCCUGCUACAAUCCAAUCUCUCUGUAUUCUUUUUAUCUGGAAAAGGUUGCAUUGCAAGAGCAUCCGAGAGGUGGAGAAGGGGAGCAAGGGGUGGAGGUGGUUGGAUCGGGGCUGGUGGUGCUGCGGUGUCGUGGCAGGGGUUGGGGAGGCGCCGUUGGGCAGCCGAGGAUGCUCGAGAAGCGGCGACCGAAGAAGGAAGCUCUACUGGAUGUGGAGAAGCUCCAUGGCGCGAGGGCCGAGGUGGGGCGAGCAGAUGGACAGCCGACGAGGCGCACGAGAGGCGGCAACGCCUUGGACGGCUGCAGAGGAGAUAGGCCAUGAGGGGAGGAGGAGCUGAGGCAGAACGGCAGUGUGCCAUGGCGCGGCGGCAUGCUGCCGUGGUGGAGGUCGACCGCUGCAGCGGUUGGGCCUGCCCCUCUCCACCUUGAUGCAUUCAAGAGCCCCCAAUAAUUUGGCUGUAAAAUCUCAUCAAGAAAAAAAAACGAAAAUAUGUGAAUGCCAUCCCAGGACAGAGAAAGAGGCGUUAUGGACUAGGGAUUACAUGCUGGCUAUCACCGAGGCACCGAAUGGAAAUAUGAGACAUGGAUUGAGACGGACACAAGAGAAAGAAGAAACAAAAAUAACAUUAUAGACCAGAUGAUGAGAACAAUGGUUUCUCUCAGCGCUGCAUGCUUAGCUGAUGGAACAUACUCCUGGGACAUAGCAGGCUAAGUGAUGUUCUACAGUACACAUGGAAAGUGACUUGAUGGAAGUCAACAACAUGGUAACAGGGUGAUUGGAUUUUGUGUAAUUUUGCAUAGUUCAUUUAUAUGUUCAUUUCAAAUCAGUUAGCAAUGACAUUCAACUUGGAAAGGAAGGUGAGAAACUUAUGAUUUCCAAGUAUAUAUGAUUUCCAUGCUUUGUGUUA